CUUUCCCAGACAUUCAGACCCAGCUGGCUAAAGCUGCCCGGUAGAGCUCUUCCCUGUCCUUUGCGUCCAAUUCCUGCUUCUUUCCUUCCUCUCCUCGUCUGCCCUUCUUCACCACGCCUGGACUCUAUAUUCAGUUCUUUAUCUAAUAUGGUCGAAGAGCCUCCCAGAUGUUUUGGUUGUACAGUGGGUUAAGGGUGUUCUAGUCUUUUGUUUUGAUGCCCAGGGCCUCACCAAUCGAUCUGGUUCCAAAGAGGCAGACCUCCAGCUCCUCUUCCUCAGCCAUGGAGCCUUUUGCAGAGGUCCCCUUAUUUGAGAUGGACCAGGAUGAUGAUGAUGAGGAUGUUCUCUCAAUGCGGAGCAGAGGUGCCUGUUCAUAUGCUGUCAUGCCCCCUGCAGGCUCAGACCCUGACGCAUUUAUUUACAUGAACUUCAUGAAGAGUCACUGCUGCUACGAUGCCAUCCCUACCAGCUCCAAACUGGUCAUCUUUGACACGACACUGCAGGUGAAGAAGGCGUUCUUUGCCCUUGUGGCUAAUGGUGUGAGGGCAGCACCACUAUGGGACAACAAGCUUAAGUGUUUUGUGGGUAUGCUGACCAUCACUGACUUCAUCAACAUUCUCCAUCGUUAUUACAAGUCUCCUCUGGUUCAGAUCUAUGAGCUGGAAGAACACAAGAUAGAGACAUGGAGAGAGAUCUAUCUUGAGUACUCGACUAACAAACUGAUCAGCAUCACUCCUGACGACAGUCUCUUUGAUGCCAUCUACUCCCUGUUGAAGUAUAAAAUACACCGGCUGCCAGUCAUUGACCCAGCAUCAGGAAACGUCCUCCACAUCCUAACUCACAAACGCAUCCUCAAGUUCCUCCACAUAUUUGGAUCUAUGAUUCCUAAACCGAGGUUUCUGCAAAAGCGGAUCAGCGAAGUGGGGAUUGGUACCUUUAAACAGAUUGCUACAGUCCAGGAAUCAGCCUCUGUCUAUGACGCUCUGACCAUUUUUGUAGAGAGAAGAGUGUCAGCUCUGCCUGUAGUCAACGAGGAAGGUAAAGUGGUGGCGCUGUACUCCAGGUUUGAUGUCAUUAACCUCGCAGCCCAGAAAAACUACAACAACUUGAACAUGACGAUGCGGGAGGCCAUUGACUCCAGAGCCUGCUCAAUGGAGGGAGUUCUGAAGUGUUACCCUUAUGAAACACUAGAGACCAUCAUCGACCGCAUUGCUAAGGCUGAGGUGCAUCGUUUGGUGUUGGUUGACAGUAAUGAUACGGUGGGAGGGAUUGUCUCUCUGUCUGAUCUCCUACAAGCCCUGGUCCUCACUCCUGCAGGUAUUGAUGCACUCUACUCCUAACUCCACCCCUUCCAUCCAUCCCUUGCUUUCCUUCUAAGUCCCCCUGGUUAUCCACCCAUCCACCUAUCCAACUCCUCAUCCUCGAGGCUUCUAGUUGCUUCUGGUGAUCCACACUCCUUCUCCUCCUGUAACGGCUCCUACCAACCAAACUCUUCUUCCUUCAACUUUUUAUCAUCAUGAAAGCAACAAGUGUCCUUCUUUCCCUGGUAUCACCAUCUAUCAAAGUUGAACCUCUGCCAAUUCCCUUCCUCUCUGAAGCCUCCUAUCCAGAAGAUCCUAUCCACCUUGUACUCAUACUGAGCAUAAUUGCCCUCAUUAAACACACCACACCCUUCAGGGAUUCUUCUGAAGCCUCCUGCUCCUCAAAGAUCAACCUCUGAAGUAUUUUCUUAAACCAUUUGCUGUGAUCAACUAACCAUCUCCUAUAAAAUCGUCUGCUCCUACAAAAUCAACCAAUCGCCUCACCUGGAACCUUGUGCACUGACCAACAUCCUUAAACAUCCUUCUAACAUCUGAAAUCUCAAACUAAAUAAACCAUGCUCCCCUAAUCUGCUCUGAUACCUCCUUCUCCUGCUAAAUCAACAAAAACCUACUUCUCCCCUUUGAAAAUCAAGCAGCCACCUCCAGUGAAACUUCACCAAAACUCUGAAUGGUCCUCUGAAACCCAUUACCUUUGCCAUUUAAUUCUUAAUCUUCCACUCCACCUUCAACAUCCGUCAGUUGCCCCCACCAAAAUCCUGUGAUCCGAUCAAAAAACCAAGCAAAUCUUCUGAAAUCUCAUCAGAAUAUCCCACCAAUCAGCCCUUGUCUUCUACAUUCUACGAAGUCAGUCAACAACCCUCCACACCUUCUCCCAAAUGUCCCUCACUCAUCAAUCAGCCAGCGACUUCAGGCUGCAGUUCCACCAUGCCACCAGCACCUCUUAGCCACUCCCCAGCCCCAUACAUUGCAGAUAUUUAUGAGAGAUCAUGCUUGCAAGACCAAAGAAAACAAAGUGGAGACUCCCGUAAAACAAGACUAUGAGAUUACAGAGAAAACUAGAAGUUAGUAGCAGGUUUGUGGCCACCAUCUUAAGUCUCAGUCCAGAAGGGAGUGAGAGUGGAAAUACCUUCACCCUCCUCCAUGAGUACCAAUAAUGUGCCCUUUAGCAAGACACUUUAUUCCCAAGUGAAGCUGCUCAGUGGACGCCAACAGAAGACUGGUUGUGGUGGGAAACUGAACUGUAUCAUGGGUGUGGCUGGAAACACCAUGAAACUGAUUGUGCACACCCAGAGACUUUUAAAGGAACUUUGAUUGACAUGACGCAACAAAAUUAUUUCCUGUAAAAUGUCAUGUAAUUUUUGUUUGUACUUCAUUUUCUUGUCUUAGAUUCAAUACAAAUCAUAUGGUCACUCAUAUAUUGAAAAUAAUGAAUUCUGGAAUUCAGAUGCCAUUUUUGUAAAUGCACUUAUGUUCCAGUUACUGUGUAAAACAAUAAAUAUUUGCCCUGUUUUCAGUCA